rnacentral:rRNA from 1 species
AUUGAACGCUGGCGGCAGGCCUAACACAUGCAAGUCGAGCGAGCGGCGGACGGGUGAGUAAUGUCUGGGAAACUGCCUGAUGGAGGGGGAUAACUACUGGAAACGGUAGCUAAUACCGCAUACCAUCAGAUGUGCCCAGAUGGGAUUAGCUAGUAGGUGGGGUAACGGCUCAACUCGGCGACGAUCCCUAGCUGGUCUGAGAGGAUGACCAGCACCACUGGACUGGGUACACGGUCCAGACUCCUACGUGAGGAAGCAGUGGGGAAUAUUGAACAAUGGGCGCAAGCCUGAUGAAGCCAUGCGGCGUGUGUGAAGAAGGCUUCCGGGUUGUAAAGCACUUUCAGCGGGGAGGCGUUACCCGCAGAAGAAGCACCGGCUAACUCCGUGCCAGCAGCCGCGGUAAUUC